GACGAACGCUGGCGGCGUGCCUAAUACAUGCAAGUAGAACGCACAGUUUAUACCGUAGCUUGCUACACCAUAGACUGUGAGUUGCGGACGGGUGAGUAACGCGUAGGUAACCUGCCUGGUAGCGGGGGAUAACUAUCGGAAACGAUAGCUAAUACCGCAUAAUAUUAAUUAUUGCAUGAUAAUUAAUUGAAAGGUGCAAUUGCACCACUACCAGAUGGACCUGCGUUGUAUUAGCUAGUAGGUGAGGUAACGGCUCACCUAGGCGACGAUACAUAGCCGACCUGAGAGGGUGAUCGGCCACACUGGGACUGAGACACGGCCCAGACUCCUACGGGAGGCAGCAGUAGGGAAUCUUCGGCAAUGGACGAAAGUCUGACCGAGCAACGCCGCGUGAGUGAAGAAGGUUUUCGGAUCGUAAAGCUCUGUUGUAAGAGAAGAACGGGUGUGAGAGUGGAAAGUUCACACUGUGACGGUAUCUUACCAGAAAGGGACGGCUAACUACGUG
rnacentral:rRNA from 1 species